UACGUAGGGUGCGAGCGUUGUCCGGAAUUAUUGGGCGUAAAGAGCUCGUAGGCGGCUUGUCGCGUCGGAUGUGAAAGCCCGGGGCUUAACUCCGGGUCUGCAUUCGAUACGGGCAGACUAGAGUUCGGUAGGGGAGAUCGGAAUUCCUGGUGUAGCGGUGAAAUGCGCAGAUAUCAGGAGGAACACCGGUGGCGAAGGCGGGUCUCUGGGCCGAUACUGACGCUGAGGAGCGAAAGCGUGGGGAGCGAACAGG
rnacentral:rRNA from 1 species